GACGAACGCUGGCGGCGUGCCUAAUACAUGCAAGUUGAGCGCUGAAGGUUGGUACUUGUACCAACUGGAUGAGCAGCGAACGGGUGAGUAACGCGUGGGGAAUCUGCCUUUGAGCGGGGGACAACAUUUGGAAACGAAUGCUAAUACCGCAUAAAAACUUUAAACACAAGCUUUAAGUUUGAAAGAUGCAAUUGCAUCACUCAAAGAUGAUCCCGCGUUGUAUUAGCUAGUUGGUGAGGUAAAGGCUCACCAAGGCGAUGAUACAUAGCCGACCUGAGAGGGUGAUCGGCCACAUUGGGACUGAGACACGGCCCAAACUCCUACGGGAGGCAGCAGUAGGGAAUCUUCGGCAAUGGACGAAAGUCUGACCGAGCAACGCCGCGUGAGUGAAGAAGGUUUUCGGAUCGUAAAACUCUGUUGGUAGAGAAGAACGUUGGUGAGAGUGGAAAGCUCAUCAAGUGACGGUAACUACCCAGAAAGGGACGGCUAACUACGUG
rnacentral:rRNA from 1 species